UCCAGGGUAGCCUAGUGGUCAUGGCAUCUGCCCGGUAAGCGGAAGGUCGUGGGUUCGAUUCCCAUCCAUUGAG
rnacentral:tRNA from 1 species